rnacentral:rRNA from 1 species
UGAUACGGAGGGUGCGAGCGUUAAUCGGAAUUACUGGGCGUAAAGCGCAUGCAGGCGGCCUGUUAAGUCAGAUGUGAAAGCCCGGGGCUUAACCUCGGAAUUGCAUUUGAAACUGGCAGGCUAGAGUCUUGUAGAGGGGGGUAGAAUUUCAGGUGUAGCGGUGAAAUGCGUAGAGAUCUGAAGGAAUACCAGUGGCGAAGGCGGCCCCCUGGACAAAGACUGACGCUCAGAUGCGAAAGCGUGGGGAGCAAACAGGAUUAGAUACCCUGGUAGUCCACGCCGUAAACGAUGUCUACUUGGAGGUUGUGGCCUUGAGCCGUGGCUUUCGGAGCUAACGCGUUAAGUAGACCGCCUGGGGAGUACGGUCGCAAGAUUAAAACUCAAAUGAAUUGACGGGGGCCCGCACAAGCGGUGGAGCAUGUGGUUUAAUUCGAUGCAACGCGAAGAACCUUACCUACUCUUGACAUCCAGAGAAGCUUGAAGAGAUUCGAGUGUGCCUUCGGGAACUCUGAGACAGGUGCUGCAUGGCUGUCGUCAGCUCGUGUUGUGAAAUGUUGGGUUAAGUCCCGCAACGAGCGCAACCCUUAUCCUUGUUUGCCAGCACUUCGGGUGGGAACUCCAGGGAGACUGCCGGUGAUAAACCGGAGGACGGUGGGGACGACGUCAAGUCAUCAUGGCCCUUACGAGUAGGGCUACACACGUGCUACAAUGGCAUAUACAGAGGGCAGCAAGACCGCGAGGUGGAGCGAAUCCCAGAAAGUAUGUCGUAGUCCGGAUCGGAGUCUGCAACUCGACUCCGUGAAGUCGGAAUCGCUAGUAAUCGUGGAUCAGAAUGCCACGGUGAAUACGUCCCCGGGCCUUGUACACACCGCCCGUCACACCAUGGGAGUGGGCUGCACCAGAAGUAGAUAGCUUAACCUUC